rnacentral:rRNA from 1 species
AUUGAACGCUGGCGGCAUGCCUUACACAUGCAAGUCGAACGGUAACAGGUCUUCGGAUGCUGACGAGUGGCGAACGGGUGAGUAAUGCAUCGGAACGUGCCCAGUAGUGGGGGGUAGCCCGGCGAAAGCCGGAUUAAUACCGCAUACGACCUGAGGGUGAAAGGGGGGGAUCGCAAGACCUCUCGCUAUUGGAGCGGCCGAUGUCAGAUUAGCUGGUUGGUGGGGUAAAGGCCUACCAAGGCAACGAUCUGUAGUUGGUCUGAGAGGCCGACCAGCCACACUGGGACUGAGACACGGCCCAGACUCCUACGGGAGGCAGCAGUGGGGAAUUUUGGACAAUGGGCGCAAGCCUGAUCCAGCAAUGCCGCGUGCAGGAAGAAGGCCUUCGGGUUGUAAACUGCUUUUGUCAGGGAAGAAAUCUUCUGGGUUAAUACCUCGGGAGGAUGACGGUACCUGAAGAAUAAGCACCGGCUAACUACGUGCCAGCAGCCGCAGUAACAC